CACCACUCUGUGCUGUUCUUGUGCUUUUCAGCAAAUUCUAUGGUCUGCUUGGGAAGAACAUAGUUCAGCCUGAUGUGCUGGUGACAGCUCAGCUUGGAGACAGUGUGACUCUCUCAUGUUUCUAUGCUAAAGAUGAUGUGCAAUGGUACAGAUGGCUUAAGCAGCCUUUUGGACAGAAGCCUGAGCAAUUGUUAAAGAUA